ensembl:snoRNA
UUUCAUGUUUCUAAGGUUUAUGGCUAGUAGUAACCAUGGGAACUCCAACUACAUGGGAAAAUAACCUGGAGAAACUUUGACAGCACAGGUCAGCUUAAUACCUGUAGCCAUCACACACUAUUCCUAUAUUU